GCUCCGUUAGCUCAACUGGCAGAGCAUCUGACUUUUAAUCAGAAGGUUGGGAGUUCGAGUCUCCCACGGGGCA
rnacentral:tRNA from 1 species